GAUGAACGCUGGCGGCGUGCCUAAUACAUGCAAGUCGAGCGAACAGACGAGGAGCUUGCUCCUCUGACGUUAGCGGCGGACGGGUGAGUAACACGUGGAUAACCUACCUAUAAGACUGGAAUAACUUCGGGAAACCGGAACUAAUACCGGAUAAUAUAUUGAACCGCAUGGUUCAAUAGUGAAAGACGGUUUUGCUGUCACUUAUAGAUGGAUCCGCGCCGCAUUAGCUAGUUGGUAAGGUAACGGCUUACCAAGGCAACGAUGCGUAGCCGACCUGAGAGGGUGAUCGGCCACACUGGAACUGAGACACGGUCCAGACUCCUACGGGAGGCAGCAGUAGGGAAUCUUCCGCAAUGGGCGAAAGCCUGACGGAGCAACGCCGCGUGAGUGAUGAAGGUCUUCGGAUCGUAAAACUCUGUUAUUAGGGAAGAACAAAUGUGUAAGUAACUAUGCACGUCUUGACGGUACCUAAUCAGAAAGCCACGGCUAACUACGUG
rnacentral:rRNA from 1 species